CUUGUUUGGCUUCAGUGCGCUACUUUGACGUACGUUUAUUUUUUAAUAUAAACAUUCCAACCUAUAUGCUUUUCUUGUUUAAUUUGCAGUGGUAUAAUAACGCGGACAUAAAUACAGUAAAUAACGCUGAACUAUUGCUGUAGAAGUAAAAAGUCAAGCUCUUUGCGGAGUUUCCUUGACGUCACGCCCCGAGAGAGAAGUGAAAGUGAAAGUGAAUGUGAGCGGCUCUGCUUUCAUUCAGCUGCGGAACACGGACUGGAGGUUCUGCUGGACACGGGACACACGCUCUCCUCGUGGGGGGUUGUGUCUGGUGAUAUGGUCGCUGUCAUUUUGUCCCAGCAAACGCAGACUGUUGAUUAGGAGAACUCUGUGAAGAGUUUUGAAAAAGUGACCUACCUUAGUAUUGAGAAAUGAGUCCUAGCGUCUGAAAAACACUGUAAUAUAAUAUCCUGAAAUCAACAAUAAUACUUAUUUUUAUUAAAUAUCAUUUGUACGUGUUUGUAAUAGAAGUCACCUGUCAAAAAAGCGCGCGGCAGUAUGGCGUUAACUGCAGAUUUACACUUAAAUCAACACAAAUGUUCCUAUAUUUUUCAGUCUAAUCUUAAUUCUAAGAGCCGCUUAUUAUUCAGUCGUGCGUGCGUGCGUGCGUGCGCGUGCUCGUCAUCACGAUCGAGGAGCCGCGCGCAUCGGAUUUAAACGCGUUUGCUCUCGGUACAGAGUCAGAACUCGGUUUAUUCGCUCGGCUGCUUCACGAUGUUUGAGUGUAUCACAUGAAGCCGGUGUCCUGACAUUUUAUCCUACCCUGUCAGAUUUUCCUACCCGGGUUUACUGCGCACGCGCACAUCAACAUCGCGUCCUUUGUCUCAUGCUAAUACUGCCCGAGCCUGGAUGCUGUAAACAUGGAUGUGCAGAUACACAAUGACUGUCCUGAAGCUAAUUAUGAUGAUGACAGCAUAGCCGAACCCUCCCUUAUUUAUGAUUAAGACAUCACACAUGAAGGAAACAACACACACAUUCACACACACUGAUUCACACAGAGAAACCAGCUUCAGAGGAGCACGAGUCUGUGGGAAAGACAAGAAUGCAGUCGAGCAGCGAGCAAAACAUUCAGGACCAAUGUCACUGUUAUUACCGCUCACACACUUAGGAGUAGAGAUCUGGUCAUGAAGGAUUCCUGUCGCUUUAAGUGUUCAGAAACAACGAGGUCUCCAUUUACUGGUGAAGGUGGAUGAUUAAACAGACGAGGUCAGAAGAUCACAAAAACCUGAUUUAUCCAAGACGGAUGAUGAUCUGCAGUUCCUCAGUCUGGAGGAGCGGGACUGUAUCUUGUUCUUUGAGGAGAUCAUCUGCUCCCUGGAGGAGGACGAUGAGAGGAAGGAUCCGCGCUGGUACACUACAGCUCCACAUCAUGACAUCAUUGACCUGGUGCACGCUACACCCGAUCACAGCAAACCGAGGGACACGCUGCCCGUCAUACCAGGUGCCUGCACACAACUACUCACCAUAAACCACUGCGUUUAAUCUAAAGGAAACUUCACCCUAAACAUGCAUAAAGCUGUGCUCUGAAGAGUUAGUAAAUGAACAAAAAAUGCAUAAUGCGAAGAUGAAAGUUCUCUCCACAUUUGGCAAUUUUGAAAUUGCACAAAGGAUUUGUUUAGCAAAUGCAGUCGGCCAUCAGGAAAUUUAAUGCGUGCAAUUUGCAUAUUGCAAUACAUGCAAUGAGUACGAGUAUCUAUUUAUACGAACAUGUCAAAUCAGCACAACACUUGCUUGGUGAACUCACACGCACAGAUUUGUGCAUAUUCGAGGCCUAUUGACACUUCUUCUUCAUUGACGUGAUAUUGAGUGUUGACAUUUCAACAUCAGAUGUGCAUUAACUCAACUAUAAAUGUGUUUCCCUCGUCAGAUUUCCAAGAGCUGAUUAUACGCCCGGAGAUGCAUUGCCAAGCGAAGGCGAAACGUGACGUGGUUGUCUCACAAGAGCACUUCAGACACCUGCCCAGUCUAGAGUCGACCAGACACGGCCCUCCGACCCACGCCAAGCCCUCG